CUCUUUCUGAUUACCGGGGUCACUUUCCACACUCAUAGCUGUGCCUAAUAGAGCUUUGUCUUUGCUUCCAGCUGGAUGUGGCUGUAGAAUGCUGGCAUUGGGAUGGGAUUCGGGGACUGUGUGGCCUUUUGGUUCACGCAGCAGCAGUGGCCCAGCAUCGUGUGGUCAGCAGAGGACCUUAACUCCCCUGUGCUUGGCUCCGAGAUCGUACAAACCCUGACCUGCUGCAGAUGGACUUGGGGCACAGGCAGAAGGAAAACACUGAAAUGAGUGCUGUGGGCUCAGAACACGGAUCCAAAGCAGGGCGUGCUGGGACCAGGAUGUGGACAUCCCUCGCUUGAACAAGGCUUCACAAUACGCACACGGACAUCGGUGUUAGCGAGGCUGAUUUCUCUGCGAUCACGGAUAAAGCUGCACUUAACGCCCCCGACCUGUCCCAAAGG